rnacentral:rRNA from 1 species
GGCUCAGAACGAACGCGUGCGGCGUGCUUAACACAUGCAAGUCGAACGCGAAAGGGACUUCGGUCCUGAGUAAAGUGGCGCACGGGUGAGUAACGCGUAGAUAACCUGUCUUCAUGUCUGGAAUAAUACGCCGAAAGGGGUACUAAUACCGGAUAUUCUUGCUUUUCAUAAGUUAUGCAAGCAAAGGUGGCCUCUGCAUAUGCUACUGCAUGAAGAGGGGUCUGCGUACCAUUAGCUAGUAGGUGGGGUAAUGGCCUACCUAGGCGACGAUGGUUAGCGGGUCUGAGAGGAUGAUCCGCCACACUGGCACUGGAACACGGGCCAGACUCCUACGGGAGGCAGCAGUGAGGAAUAUUGCGCAAUGGGGGAAACCCUGACGCAGCGACGCCGCGUGAGUGAGGAAGGCCUUCGGGUCGUAAAGCUCUGUCAAGAGGAAAGAAGUGUACAAUGGCUAAUACCUGUUGUAUUUGACGGUACCUCUAAAGGAAGCACCGGCUAACUCCGUGCCAGCCGCGGC